GGGUCAGUAGGCUGGUCGUGCCACCGGUACGUACUGGUCUCAAUGAUUACUCCUUCCUGAAGAACCGUAAUGCCAUUAAUUUGGUGUUGCGGGGAAACAGGACUGUUACUUUGAAAAAAUUAGAGUGUUUAAAGCAAGCUAACGCUUGAAUAAAUUAGCAUGGAAUAAUGAAAUAGGACGAUCGAUCCUAUUUUGUUGGUUUCUAGGAUUGACGUA
rnacentral:rRNA from 1 species